rnacentral:tRNA from 1 species
GCCUGGGUGGCUCAGUCGGUUGAGCAUCUGACUUCGGCUCAGGUCACGAUCUCACGGUCCGUGAGUUCGAGCCCGCAUCGGGCU